rnacentral:rRNA from 1 species
UUGGCUUCUCCUUACAGAGGGCCCCCGGGGGGCCUUUGGGUAGGUUGGGGAGGUUACGGGUCCACCAAGGGGGCCGUUUGGUAGCCGACUUGAGAGGGUGGUUUGGCCCACCCCUGGGGAUUGAGACACGGCCCAGACUUCUUCCGGGAGGGCAGCAGUAGGGAAUUUUUCCCCAAUGGACGAAAAUUGGACGGAGCAACGCCGCGUGAGUGAUGAAGGUUUUCGGAUUGUAAGGUUUUUUUUUUUCCCCCCCCAACAAGUGCAAGAGUAACUGCUUGCACCUUGACGGUACCUAACCAGAAAACCCCGGCUAACUACGUGCCAGCAGCCGCGGUAAUACGUAGGUGGCAAGCGUUUUCCGGAAUUAUUGGGCGUAAAGGGCUCGCAGGCGGUUUUUUAAGUUUGAUGUGAAAGCCCCCGGCUCAACCGGGGAGGGUCAUUGGAAACUGGGAAACUUGAGUGCAGAAGAGGAGAGUGGAAUUCCCCGUGUAGCGGUGAAAUGCGUAGAGAUGUGGAGGAACCCCAGUGGCGAAGGGGACUUUCUGGUCUGUAACUGACGCUGAGGAGCGAAAGCGUGGGGAGCGAACAGGAUUAGAUACCCUGGUAGUUCCCGCCGUAAACGAUGUAGUACUGGAGUGUUAGGGGGUUUCCGCCCCUUAGUGCUGCAGCUAACCGCCAUUAAGCAAAUUUUCCCCGU